AACGAACGCUGGCGGCAUGCCUAACACAUGCAAGUCGAACGAGAUCUUCGGGUCUAGUGGCGCACGGGUGCGUAACGCGUGGGAAUCUGCCCUUUGGUUCGGAAUAACAGUUGGAAACGACUGCUAAUACCGGAUGAUGACGAAAGUCCAAAGAUUUAUCGCCAGAGGAUGAGCCCGCGUAGGAUUAGCGAGUUGGUGUGGUAAAGGCGCACCAAGGGGACGAUCCUUAGCUGGUCUGAGAGGAUGAUCAGCCACACUGGGACUGAGACACGGCCCAGACUCCUACGGGAGGCAGCAGUGGGGAAUAUUGGACAAUGGGCGAAAGCCUGAUCCAGCAAUGCCGCGUGAGUGAUGAAGGCCUUAGGGUUGUAAAGCUCUUUUACCCGGGAUGAUAAUGACAGUACCGGGAGAAUAAGCUCCGGCUAACUCCGUGCCAGCCGCCGCGGUAA
rnacentral:rRNA from 1 species